CUUGGUCAUUUAGAGGAAGUAAAAGUCGUAACAGGGUCUCCGUAGGGUAUGUUAAACCACAUCCCCAUAAGACCUUGAAUCAAUGCUAACGUUUCUCUAGUGAACCUGCGGAGGGAUCAUUACCGAGUGAGGGUCUCCGGGCCCGACCUCCAACCCUUUGUUAAUGACACUGUAUUAUAUCCCUCGGGGGCGACCUGUCUCUAGGGUAACCUUAUGCGCCGGAAGGGCCCAAAGCCCUCGGAGGCAACCUAGUGUAGGAGCCCGUAGGUGUGUCUAGGUGGACAUCAUGAAUUACUUCACAGACAAGUGCGGUUUAGCGUGAGAAAGUAACUUGGCCUAGAUCUGACCGCGUAUCUUGUGGCUAGCCCGCGGCGGAUUCGGCGUAGGCCACUCUUUCUAACCGUAUCAUGAGUUACUUCGCAGACAAGUGCUCGAAUGGCAGUAUUAAGUCCAUCAAUGUGCUCCUGUAACUCAUGAUAUAUCAAUCGUAGCCAAAGCGCAUUGCGCAGUUGUGACGAUUGGUUAAACUAAAUGCGCUCCUGUAACGAUUGAUUAAACUUGGACCCCGCGGGCACCUUCUUUCGGGGUAACCUUGGCCCCCGGUGGGGAAUUUCAACUCUGCAUCUUUGCGUCGGAGUCUAAAGUAAAUGAAUAAAACUUUCAACAACGGAUCUCUUGGUUCUGGCAUCGAUGAAGAACGCAGCGAAAUGCGAUAAGUAAUGUGAAUUGCAGAAUUCAGUGAAUCAUCGAAUCUUUGAACGCACAUUGCGCCCUUUGGCAUUCCGAAGGGCAUGCCUGUUCGAGCGUCAUUUCACCAAUCAAGCCUGGCUUGGUAUUGGGCGACGGGGUGAACCCGCGCCCCCAAUGUAUCGGCUGACCGACCACUAUCUCAGCGUUGUGAACUUCAAUCCGCUGGCGAGACGGGGCGGGAGGGCCGUGAAACAUUUCAUUAAGGUUGACCUCGGAUCAGGUAGGGAUACCCGCUGAACUUAAGCAUAUCAAUAAGCGGAGGAAAAGAAACCAACAGGGAUUGCCCUAGUAACGGCGAGUGAAGCGGCAACAGCUCAAAUUUGAAAUCUGGCGCAAGCCCGAAUUGUAAUUUGUAGAGGAUGUUUCUGGGCAGCGGCCGGUCUAAGUUCCUUGGAACAGGACGUCAUAGAGGGUGAGAAUCCCGUAUGCGACCAGUUGGCACCCUCCACGAAACUCCUUCGACGAGUCGAGUUGUUUGGGAAUGCAGCUCUAGAUGGGAGGUAAAUUUCUUCUAAAGCUAAAUACCGGCCAGAGACCGAUAGCGCACAAGUAGAGUGAUCGAAAGAUGAAAAGCACUUUGGAAAGAGAGUUAAAAAGCACGUGAAAUUGUUGAAAGGGAAGCGCUUACGACCAGACUUGUCGGCGAUGUUCCGCCGGUCUUUUGACCGGUCUACUCAUCGUCAGCAGGCCAGCAUCAUCUGGGGCCGCCGGAUAAAGACUCAGGGAAUGUAGCUCCUCUCGGGGAGUGUUAUAGCCUUGGGUGCAAUACGGUGUGUCCCGGGUGAGGUUCGCGCUUCGGCGAGGAUGCUGGCGUAAUGGGUGUAAGCGGCCCGUCUUGAAACACGGACC
rnacentral:rRNA from 1 species